GGGCUGCCUCACUGCCCUGCGGUGGCUCCUGGGCCGGGGCCCCCGGGGACCAAAGAGAGGUCAGGCGGGAGUGUUUUUCACCUAAAGAUUGACAAGGGGGACUUCCCUGCGGCCUCCGUCGCUGUCGCCACUGCGGCCCAGGUCACUGCUGCGGUUCAGGUUCAGCCUCUGGCUGGCGAACUUCUGCGUGCCAGCGGUGUGGCCGCAGAGAAGCAAGAGAUGAAAAGCUAAGAGGAGUCGCCCGUUUUGAUUGCGGAUGCUGGAUGCUGGGAAGGAGCUGAGCAAGGUCGCCUCAGCUCUCCCUUCCCAGAGCGGUCUGCGGUCUGAAGGGUGAAAGUGGGGGAUGCGGCCGCUGCCCCCUUAUGACCAGGACUAGCAAGGAGCAGCGAGGACUUUGUGUCUCUAAGCAUCUUACGUUUGAGAAGGUCCCUUAAGUUUAUUGCAAGAGAUCGUUUGUGAAAAGUUGCUGUAGAGGCGUGAACUCAGGCCCGUCUUUGACCCCAGUGUCCCUUCUCCGUCAGCGGCUGCUUGAAAAAAACCCUCAGGUCCCAGAGCUGAAGAAAGACUGCUGUUGGGAAGCGGCCUGUCUCGCUUUGGCCUAGGCGCCAUGCGCGUCCCGUGACUGCCAAGCACGGAGGGAUCCUGGACCAGCGGGCCUGCCCUUCUGACGCGCUCACCGCCCGUGUGCCCCCAGGAGGCCUCGCGCCCUCCCCCGGACGCCAUGAACGCCAUCGUCGCGCUCUGCCACUUCUGCGAGCUCCACGGCCCCCGCACUCUCUUCUGCACGGAGGUGCUGCACGCGCCGCUUCCGCAGGGGGCCGGGAGCGGGGACGGCGCCGGCCAGGGCGACCAGGCCGAGGAGGAGGAGGGCGGCAUUCAGAUGAGCAGCCGCGUCCGCGCGCACAGUCCGGCGGAAGGGGCCAGCGCGGAGUCCAGCAGCCCGGGGCCCAAGAAGUCAGACAUGUGCGAGGGCUGCCGGUCCCUUGCCGCUGGCCACCCCGGCUACAUCAGCCACGACAAGGAGACCUCCAUCAAGUACGUCAGUCACCAGCACCCCAACCACCCCCAACUCUUCAGCAUCGUCCGCCAGGCCUGCGUGCGGAGCCUGAGCUGUGAGGUCUGCCCCGGGCGCGAAGGCCCCAUCUUCUUCGGGGACGAGCAGCACGGCUUCGUGUUCAGCCACACCUUCUUCAUCAAGGACAGCCUGGCCCGCGGCUUCCAGCGCUGGUACAGCAUCAUCGCCAUCAUGAUGGACCGCAUCUACCUCAUCAACUCCUGGCCCUUCCUGCUGGGCAGGGUCCGAGGGAUCAUCGACGAGCUGCAGGGCAAGGCCCUCAAGGUGUUCGAGGCGGAGCAGUUUGGGUGCCCCCAGCGCGCGCAGAGGAUGAACACGGCCUUCACGCCGUUCCUGCACCAGAGGAACGGCAAUGCCGCCCGCUCGCUGACCUCCCUGACCGACGACGACAGCCUCUGGGCCUGCCUGCACACCUCCUUCGCCUGGCUCCUGAAGGCGUGUGGCAGCCGGCUGACCGAGAAGCUCCUGGAAGGCGCGCCCACCGAGGACACCUUGGUCCAGAUGGAGCAGCUCGCAGGUGAGCGGGCGCCGCGCCUGCCGGGGCUGGGGCCGCGGGGCCGUCUGCACCCCGCCACCCAGCGGGAAGCCAUCGCAGAAGCUGGCUCUUCGCGCUUCGCCUCUUUCUCGCCGUUUCCUGUCUCGUUUUCCUUGACGGCCACUGGCGAGGGCUGUCGGCUGUCGCUCGGGAGAGACUCAGGACGGCUUGGAGCUUUCGCGUCCCUGUGUGACGUGAGCAGCCGCUUGGCCUUUCUGACGGUGAUGCAUCCUUUGCCCUUUUCUGGCCGCUGCGUGGCAAACAGAAGUUCCCGGGCCGGGGAUCGAACCCAAGCCGCAGCAGCUGUGUCCUUAACCACCGGGCCACCAGGGACCCCAGUUCUUUGCGUUUUAACAGUAGAACAUCGUACGUCACUGCACGUGGUGGCUCCCGAGCCUCUCGGCAUUGGGGCCGCCCUCCCUGGGCUCCUGGUCUGCCGCUCUGUCUGGCCCGGCCCGGGGGCGCUGCUCCCCUCCGCGGUGAGGCGGCUUCCGGCGGUGCACAUCCAGGGCUCGGUCCCCAGCCUCUCUGGGUGCGUCCGGUGCGCAGUUGUGCAGGUGACUGGCAGCACGCCCUGGAGCUGUUCCCAGGUUAUUCCUGGAGUCGGGGGACUUGCGUCGUGUGGGGGGCAGCUGGUUCAGCCAGAGCAGGACCUGGUCAGGACACAGCCUCGCCUCCGGAUUUGUGGCCACACGGGAUGGCCUCUAAGUGGGGAUGAAAGUUCCCGGCCCGUGAAGACGGCGAGGGCGGCCUGCGUCAAAAUGUACUCACGCGGGGAGCCGGGCGUGCGUGUCGGGGGAGGGGACGCCCGCGUGCGGGGCUCACUCUCGGGACUGGGACUGUGUUUGGCCGCGAAGGUGAGCAGAGGGGCUCAGAGCGCACGCUGGGUGGGACACAGCUGCGUGACAUCCUGGCUCGAGGGCACUCGUGAGGCCCUUUGCGUGUGACGCGGAGAGAAGACGCUGUGAACCACGCGUGUCCUUGGGCCGUGGUGGCCGUGUGCAGGGCACAGGGGACGCCGGCGCCCAGGGCAGCGCGGCGGGGACUGAGUCGGCGUCUGUGUUGCAGACCUGGAAGAGGAGUCGGAGAGCUGGGGCAGCCCCGAGGCCGCAGAGGAGGGGGAAGGCCCUGCACUGUCAGAGGCCGCGGGCGGCCGGGAGCUGGCCCAGCGCCCCCCGGACCCGGCCGUGCUCUCCGACCGUGGAGCCUGGCAGCCGCGGAAGCCCCCCGUCUUCAAGUCCCUGCGGCACAUGCGGCAGGUAGGCGGCAGGUAGGGGAGCCGGGUCCCCUCCUCUCGGCUUCUCCGCAUCCAGCGCCUCGUCCUUCGGGCCUGUCGUGUGCAGGAGACGCAGGAACUUCCUGGGGGGCGGCUGAGGGUGGCAGUGGCCUCUGGGAUGUCAGUGAGGAUACAGCGGCUUCUUUCAGAAAAGGCCUUACCGUUGACGUCUCACGAUGCAUCAUUCUAGACCCUUCUAAAGGAAUUGAACAGCACCGUGGGUUUGCGCACAGCGUAGGUGCCUCACACGUUGAAAACGGCGUCCGUUCUCACAGGGAGUGAGAGACCCCUGCCGUGCCCACCCCAGUGCCGCAGGUGCGCCCUGGGCCGUGAAGCCCAGGAGCGGAGCCUGUGGUGCAGCGCGUGGCGGGGGCCGGCGGGUGGGCGGGCGGGCGGACGGCGCGCUUGCGGAGGCGGCCUGUCCCUUUUGUCAGAUGGAGUUGACUUUGACAUCGAGCGUGAACCUGUCAGAAAAGGGUCGUUUCUCUUCUGGACAGUGAAGUGGAGACUGACCUCAGGGCAGGUGGUCUUCGGGGCCUCGGGAUGAAAAAGAGCCGCCUGUCAAAUCCACCCUCAAUGCGGCCGCUCGCGUGGGUUAAAGCCGGAGGCUUUGAUCCCGCCGGCUCGCGCUGACGUGAUUUGGCAAAGCUUCAGCGUGUAGAGCAGGAGAGAAGUGGACAAAAAGCCAGCACUUAACUGCCUCAAGUUUUUGAGAACAGCGUCGGGGAACAGAUGUUAAUGUGCGCAGGAGCCUCGGGGUCAGCCUGCGCCCUCCUGCCUCGGGCAGGUUCACCCGGCCUCCCGGAGACGCUGCCUGUCCUGACCGGUCUCCAUUCUCGCUGCAGAGGAAGUUUCUAGACAGACGCACGGACACCUUCCCCGGGGCGGGAAGAAGGCUCGCGCGCGAGACCGCGACCGUGUCUUGCAGGUGCUGGGGGCCCCGUCCUUUCGCAUGCUGGCCUGGCACGUGCUCAUGGGGAACCAGGUCAUCUGGAAGAGCAGAGACGCGGACCUCGUCCACUCAGCCUUCGAGGUUCUCCGGACCAUGCUGCCCGUGGGCUGCGUCCGCGUCAUCCCCUACAGCGGCCAGUACGAGGAGGCCUACCGCUGCAACUUCCUGGGGCUCAGCCCGCACGUGCACAUCCCCCCCCACGUGCUGGCCUCAGGUGCGUGCCCUGCGCUCCCGGCCCGGAGCCGAAGCGCGGUGACGGGAUCUUGGCUGUGGGUUCGAGGACGGCGCCUGCCGGGAAGACCCACGUUGCAGGACCUGCUCUCCUGGGGACACUGGGCCUCUGUUUUCUGUCCUUGAAGUGGGUGAGGGUUGGACGGCACAACCUCCCGUCAGGGUGGCUCGCUGGGGAGCGGUUCUCCGUGGGGACAGGUGCCAGGCCUGGCGGGAACCCCCGUGGUGGAUGGGGGGGUGGAUGGCAGGGCCGUCUGUGGUGUGGCCGAGUGAGGCCACCCAGGUCCAGGCCUGCGGGACUGAGGCCUCCUUCCUGGUCCCCCCAGAGUGCAGGCCUGCGGGGCUGCCACCCCCUGAGCACCCCAGCUGGGGCGUGAGUGCAGGAGGCAGCGCGGAGAAGGCAGGCUCUAGUCCCGGAGACCCCCACAGGCUGCGUGACCCCCACACAGCUGCUCUGUGUCAGCUCCCGGUCGCACGCUGGGGCCGUGGCGGGACGCUCCCGCCGGCCAUCCGGCAUCGGGCCAGGCCAGGCGUCGGACGUAGUUAGUGAUUCAGUAGUUAAUCCGCGGGCGGCGCUGCACCGCGGCCUUAGCUUCACGAGGCAGACGUGCGCCCUGGACGCUCACGAUACACACAGAAGACGUUACAGCCGGAGCGCAAACCUCCGACGGGAGCUCUGCCCCGUCUCGGUGGCCUGAGGUCGCGGGGGCCCUUGGCCGGGUGUCAGGAGCCCCCGGGCAGCGCCUCUGUGUUGCCGCAGAGUUCGCCGUCAUCGUGGAGGUCCACGCAGCCCCUCGCUCCAGCCUCCACCCGGCCGCGUGCGAGGACGACCAGUCCCUCAGCAAGUACGAGUUCGUGGUCACCAGUGGAAGCCCAGUGGCCGCGGACCGAGUCGGCCCCACCAUCCUGAAUAAGAUGGAAGCUGCCCUGACCAACCAGAACCUGUCCGUGGACGUGGUGGACCAGUGCCUGGUGUGCCUCAAGGAGGAGUGGAUGAACAAAGUGAAGGUGCUUUUCAAGUUCACCAAGGUGGACAGUCGGCCCAAGGAGGACACGCAGAAGCUCCUGAGCAUCCUCGGGGCGUCCGAGGAGGACAACGUCAAGCUGCUCAAGUUCUGGAUGACCGGCCUGAGCAAGACCUACAAGUCCCACCUCAUGUCCACCGUCCGCAGCCCCACGGCCUCCGAGCCCCGCAGUUAACCCCGUGGGCACCCGCUGGGGAGUGGGGGCGGCCGUCCUGGCCACGGAGCUCGGGUGCGCUCCCGGGCCGUCGCAGGCCGUGCCCCCACGUCCACACUGCCCACGUGGAGCUGCUGCCGACACGGAGUGGGCGCCGCGGGGGCUGCGCUUGGCCCUCUGGGUGGGGGUGGACCUGGCACGGUUCUUGGCACCACCCGACAGACUGUCAGCAUUGCCCGGCCCUGAGGGGGCGGCGGGAAGCCCGUGCCCCGGAGCCCCCUGCCCUCGGGCACCUCAGGCCUGUGGCGGCCGCGGAUCUCCCAGCUCAUGGGGGUCCGUCAGGCCGCCUCAGCCUGAGCGCCGUGGCCGCAGCGUCGCGUCCUGGAUUGAGGUCAGCGCUCGAGUCUCUCUGUCCCGGGACUCAGCACGGGUUUUCCAGGUUCCCAGUGUGUCCGCGCGUCUCGCUGUGGUUGUGGAGGUCAGCCGGGGGCCCAUCCGUAGGCCUUGCUGGCGGUCUGGCCUUGGGGUCGGGCCUGGGAGGGGUCUCGGGGGUGGGGUGAGUGUUUCCCCAGCUUCGGGUCGUCCAGAAGUCACGCCCUGAGGUCGUGGGAGGCCGCCCAGCACGGCAGCUGGAAAAUCAGCCUGCAGCCUGAGGCCAAGGCCCGGUCUUUUGUGCGGAGGUGGCGGUUUGUGGAAAGGUCGAAGGAGCUUGAGACGGGCCGGCUCUGCGUGGAGUUGAGAAACGCCGUGGUUUCCGUCCAGGUCGCUUUGCCCUUUGCUGCUUCUGGAGACACUUAGGUUCGGCGGCAGGCAACCCUCCGAGUGUUGGGGGUGGUUCGAGGCGGUUUCGUCGUCCCAGUGUGCGUCUGGAAAGAGGAGUCACGGUUAGACGCGUUCCCAGUGGUCCUGCUGAUUGGCUCGUGGUUUCUCGUGUUUAGUUUGUAGUUAACGUGAAGACCGUGUUUGUAUGAGCAGGUGUCUGCAUCGUGCAGCAGCAUCGACACAAUAAAGGUAUAUUUUUCUAAAUGGC